AUGAUUAUUAUCACAGAUUUAAUCAUGUACUCGCUCCGUUCGAAAUUACUUGUCUCAGAAAUGGAUAUAUCUAAAACUAAAAUACAACUAGAUAUAUCCAUUUCUGCGACAAAUAAUUCCGAACGAAGGGAGUAUAUAUCUUCUACUCAUCUUAUGCAUGUACUACUCGCCCGGAUCGAGCAUGUGAGCAUGGAGACACCGAUUGCUACUCCAAGUAGGAUUCAGGAGAAAUUUUUCAUCGACGAUGGCGGCAAACACGGCCGAUCUCCUCACAGAGAUGCGGAAUCAGAUCCGUCAAAUGGAUCGAUGGUUAUCCCGGUUUGCAUAUCCACUCACUAA
rnacentral:rRNA from 1 species